GCCCUUGGUUUUCACAGAGCUCCCCAGGGUGUAAUACAUUUAUGUGGUACUAGAAUUUGAUUGUAUGUUUGGAUUUUGUCUGACUUUUUUUCCUCCUACCUAAAAUGUGUCAUUGCCUUUAAUUAAACUCUUCUAGGGGUCACAAGCUUGGAAACAGGAUGGGAUGUUUCCAAAGAGACCUUAAAAAUAUGGAAAAUAAAGAUUGCAUGGCAUAAGACUGAAGCGUAACUUCUGCAGUUUGUUGUGCACCAGUCACCUACCUGGCUGCUAUUCUCCAUCCAACAGGUUAGUGUAUAGUACAGAAAACAUAAGCUGAGCCUCACCGUUUGCUUUCAUAAAAACUUUGGAUGCUACGUACUUUUAACAUGAAAAGAAAUUCCAAAAAGAGUUUAAGAGUUUUCCUGUGUGGGAGCAAAAUGAGCUAUCAGCCCUUUGAAUGCCUCCAUCUGCACCUGCACAUCAAGUGAUUUAGAUAAGACCAAACAGCACCAGGUGCAGUCACGGAAACCCCUAAAAAUAAUUACUUAAACUCAGAGUUAAAUAGAAACAGCAUGUAACAGGUGCAAGAGUCAAGACAUAUAGCCUUUUGGAUACUGCUAGCUACAUAUCCUACCAUUCCCCGAGAGUCAUGGAAACACCUACAUCCAUGAGUGCUUGGAGUAUCUGGCUAGCUGUUGAAU
ensembl:lncRNA